rnacentral:rRNA from 1 species
GACGAACGCUGGCGGCGUGCUUAACACAUGCAAGUCGAGCGGUAAGGCCCUUCGGGGUACACGAGCGGCGAACGGGUGAGUAACACGUGAGUAAUCUGCCCAUCACUUCGGGAUAACUCCGGGAAACCGGUGCUAAUACCGAAUAUGACCACUUCAGGCAUCUGAUGGUGGUGGAAAGUUCCGGCGGUGAUGGAUGAGCUCGCGGCCUAUCAGCUUGUUGGUGGGGUAGUGGCCUACCAAGGCUUCGACGGGUAGCCGGCCUGAGAGGGUGACCGGCCACACUGGGACUGAGACACGGCCCAGACUCCUACGGGAGGCAGCAGUGGGGAAUAUUGGACAAUGGGCGAAAGCCUGAUCCAGCAACGCCGCGUGAGGGAUGACGGCCUUCGGGUUGUAAACCUCUUUCAGCAGGGACGAAGCGCAAGCGACGGUACCUGCAGAAGAAGCACCGGCCAACUACGUG